UACGUAGGGGGCGAGCGUUGUCCGGAUUUAUUGGGCGUAAAGAGCGUGUAGGCGGCUUGGUAGGUCUGCUGUGAAAACUCGGGGCUCAACCCCGAGACGUCGGCGGAAACCAUCUGGCUAGAGUCCGGAAGAGGAGAGUGGAAUUCCUGGUGUAGCGGUGAAAUGCGCAGAUAUCAGGAAGAACACCCGUGGCGAAGGCGGCUCUCUGGGACGGUACUGACGCUGAGACGCGAAAGCGUGGGGAGCGAACAGG
rnacentral:rRNA from 1 species